UUUAAAUUGCAUCGGUAUAAAAGCUAAGGCAUUUGCUCUGCAGCAACACAAUUCAAAUGCAUGUAUUGGGUUACACAAUGCACCAAUCCACACUGCGGUAGAAGCAUAUAUCAGGGCUGUAGGAGGCUCUUUUCGAUUGUUGGGGGACCUGAAAGCAUAUAUAUGGCUGAAAGCGAGGGCCGAAGGCCCGAGGAAAUUUUUAAAUUUAGAGUCUCUGAAAUGCCAUUUCCUGGACUUUGGGAAAGAUUUGACAGAAUUCUAAUGGUCAGAAAACAGAAUUUUAGUAUGUCGAAAUUUACAAUUUAGUAGUACUAAAUGGGCGAAGGCAAAUUUAAUUAACUAUAUAUUGGAUAAGUUGCAGGAAAGUAUAUGGGUAAUAUCUUCAUUCUUUGCAGUUUGUCAUGGAUUAAAUGAUAAAGGUCUACAUGAUUUUGAAAAAAAAUGAUUAUUAGCAAAUUGCUACGGCCCUGUAUAUAUGAUGCUUGAUUAACUGAGGGGGGAGUUGAAUAUUUCGAAUCUCUAGAUCGUCGGAAAUGG